CCCCUAGACGUUCUGGGCUGCACGCGCGCUACAAUAAUACGCCCAGCGAGUAUCACCGAGCUCGAAAGGGCAAGGUAAACAAUAGAAAAGGUACUGUAAUGGUUAUAGAUCCUUGUAAUUAUUGAUCUUCAACGAGGAAUUCCUAGUAAGUAUGUGUCAUCAUCACGCACUGAUUACGUCCCUGCCCUUUGUACACACCGCCCGUCGCCCCUACCGAUUGGGUGAGCCGAUGAAACUCUCGGAUGUAGGCUAUUCAUAGCCCGCAGAAGAGAUUUGAAUCGUAGCGCUUAGAGGAAGGAGAAGUCGUAACA
rnacentral:rRNA from 1 species